UACAGAGGGUGCAAGCGUUAAUCGGAAUUACUGGGCGUAAAGCGCGCGUAGGUGGCCACAUAAGUCCGUUGUGAAAGUCAAAGGCUCAACCUUUGAAAGCCGAUGGAUACUGUGUGGCUAGAGUACGGAAGAGGCGAGUGGAAUUCCUGGUGUAGCGGUGGAAUGCGCAGAUAUCAGGAGGAACACCAAUAGCGAAGGCAGCUCGCUGGGACGUUACUGACACUGAGGCGCGAAAGCGUGGGAGCGAACAGG
rnacentral:rRNA from 1 species